CCAAGACUGCUGGAGGUGUACAAAGAAGCAACCAAGUCUGGAAAGAAGCCAUCACUCAAAGACAUUCUGGACUGUCUUGUGAAAGAUGAGACAAAUGAGAGGAGAAGAGCUGCUGCUCUGCUUGGUCUGCCACACCUCAUCUGAGGCGAAGAUCCAUCAAAUGCCAUCAGGAUGUGUGAUGCUCAUGUUGAGAUUGUGGAUGAAGCCAUGAAGGGGAUGCAGCUUGGCCUUCUGAUAGGCUGUGAAGGUGGUGAACUGGGUGCCGUUCCACA